UACGAAGGGUGCAAGCGUUACUCGGAAUUACUGGGCGUAAAGCGUGCGUAGGUGGUUUGUUAAGUCUGAUGUGAAAGCCCUGGGCUCAACCUGGGAAUUGCAUUGGAUACUGGCAGGCUAGAGUGCGGUAGAGGAUGGCGGAAUUCCCGGUGUAGCAGUGAAAUGCGUAGAGAUCGGGAGGAACAUCUGUGGCGAAGGCGGCCAUCUGGACCAGUACUGACACUGAGGCACGAAAGCGUGGGGAGCAAACAGG
rnacentral:rRNA from 1 species